CGGCAACAGCUCAAAUUUGAAAUCUGGCCUCUUUCGGGGUCCGAGUUGUAAUUUGUAGAGGAUGUUUUGGGUACCGCGCUGGUUUAAAUUUCUUGGAACAGAAUGUCAGAGAGGGUGAGAAUCCCGUCUGGAGCCGUGGUAGGGCUUAUGUGAAACUCCUUCGAC
rnacentral:rRNA from 1 species